CCAGACUCCUACGGGAGGCAGCAGUGAGGAAUAUUGGUCAAUGGGCGGGAGCCUGAACCAGCCAAGCCGCGUGAAGGAAGAAGGCGCCAGGCGUCGUAAACUUCUUUUGUCGGGGAACAAAGGGCGCCACGCGUGGCGUUGUGAGUGUACCCGAAGAAAAAGCAUCGGCUAACUCCGUGCCAGCAGCCGCGGUAAUACGGAGGAUGCGAGCGUUAUCCGGUUUUAUUGGGUUUAAAGGGUGCGUAGGCGGAACGAAAGUUCAGGGUUAAAGGCGCGGGUCAAACCCCGGGCGAGCCGUUGAAACUGUCGGACUAGAGACGGCGAGAAGUACGCGGAAUGCGCGGUGUAGCGGUGAAAUGCAUAGAUAUCGCGCAGAACUCCGAUUGCGAAGGCAGCGUACCGGCGCCGGACUGACGCUGAAGCACGAAAGCGUGGGUAUCGAACAGGAUUAGAUACCCGUGUA
rnacentral:rRNA from 1 species